rnacentral:rRNA from 1 species
AGCGCAGGCGGUUUGAUAAGUCUGAAGUAAAAGGCUGUGGCUUAACCAUAGUAUGCUUUGGAAACUGUCAAACUUGAGUGCAGAAGGGGAGAGUGGAAUUCCAUGUGUAGCGGUGAAAUGCGUAGAUAUAUGGAGGAACACCGGUGGCGAAAGCGGCUCUCUGGUCUGUAACUGACGCUGAGGCUCGAAAGGCGUGGGGGCAAACA